CUGGCCCCCGCCCCGCGGCCCGCGAACGUCGUCCUCCCGGGGACGCGGUGCAGAGCCCGCUGCAAACGGCGUGGCCGCGGCACAAUACCGCGGCGCGGCGCACACAAUCACCGCCCCCCAGGACCGGCGGCGCGCACGGCCAGGAGUGGGGUGCGCCCGGCAGCUCCGGGCACUUGAAGCUAGGCGCACCUCUCGGGCGCCCCGCAGGCCCGGGAGCGCAACCUCCGCCCCUCCCCGCUCUCGGGCACACUCGCCCGCCCCCAGCCCCAGCCCACUCCACCCAGGGCUAGCAGCUCGCCAGGCGCAGGAAGCUCCCCUUUGUACCGCCCCUGCACCCCUCCUCUCUGCCCCGCCGCCAGCUCCACUGUCCAGGCUGCGCUCACCUGUUCGACCCAAACAUUCCGGCGACCCGGAGCGCCCGCCGCCCGCUUGCUCCCGGCUCCCUCUGAGGGCCCCCGCCCCACUCCGCGGGUCAUUGUGCUCCAGCAGACCACACGGUGCCGGCUCCUUACGGCGCGCUGGCUACAGUUGUAAAGUCACAGCAUAAUAUCAAGAAUGCUGCCCAGACCUGGGCGCGCACAGUCCGCAGGGACUCCGCAGGAAAGGGAAGACGCAGGCGGACCCAAGGUGAGGUCCUCCUCGGGGCAAACAGACCUUCUGCCUCGCCUUCAGGAGAAGAUAUAAUGGGGCGGCGCGAGGUGGCCAGAGGGGUACCCUGAAUCUCCGGGCAACCUCAGACUCGCCUGUGAUCUAACAAGCUAGUAUCCUUGCGGCAGAAUUAAAACAUGGACAGAGAAAAAUGGGCUAGGGGCAAAGUCCGCCCCCCAAAUCCCCAACACCAAGUCCAAAGCCCGGGUUAGAACACAUGGACCCCGAAUAAAGCUUGUGCUUUAACAAGGA